AGAGUUUGAUCCUGGCUCAGGACGAACGCUGGCGGCGUGCCUAAUACAUGCAAGUCGAACGCUUCUUUCCUCCCGAGUGCUUGCACUCAAUUGGAAAGAGGAGUGGCGGACGGGUGAGUAACACGUGGGUAACCUACCCAUCAGAGGGGGAUAACACUUGGAAACAGGUGCUAAUACCGCAUAACAGUUUAUGCCGCAUGGCAUAAGAGUGAAAGGCGCUUUCGGGUGUCGCUGAUGGAUGGACCCGCGGUGCAUUAGCUAGUUGGUGAGGUAACGGCUCACCAAGGCCACGAUGCAUAGCCGACCUGAGAGGGUGAUCGGCCACACUGGGACUGAGACACGGCCCAGACUCCUACGGGAGGCAGCAGUAGGGAAUCUUCGGCAAUGGACGAAAGUCUGACCGAGCAACGCCGCGUGAGUGAAGAAGGUUUUCGGAUCGUAAAACUCUGUUGUUAGAGAAGAACAAGGACGUUAGUAACUGAACGUCCCCUGACGGUAUCUAACCAGAAAGCCACGGCUAACUACGUGCCAGCAGCCGCGGUAAUACGUAGGUGGCAAGCGUUGUCCGGAUUUAUCGGGCGUAAAGCGAGCGCAGGCGGUUUCUUAAGUCUGAUGUGAAAGCCCCCGGCUCAACCGGGGAGGGUCAUUGGAAACUGGGAGACUUGAGUGCAGAAGAGGAGAGUGGAAUUCCAUGUGUAGCGGUGAAAUGCGUAGAUAUAUGGAGGAACACCAGUGGCGACGCGGCUCUCUGGUCUGUACUGACGCUGAGGCUCGAAGCGUGGGGAGCAACAGGAUUAAGAUACCCUGG
rnacentral:rRNA from 1 species